rnacentral:lncRNA from 1 species
CCGUCGCUCUACUGCAGUUGCCACCGCCGCCGCUGGCGAAGAUCGUGUCUCCAAGAGCUUCAUCGGAGAGUCACGACGGUCACUCGUGAUCUGCCGCCGUAUCGAUAUGCUGUCGGAACACGUCCACAGCCCUCCUCGUCCAGUUCGAUCAUCACCCAUCGCCGUUCCGUUGUCCAUUGUUGGUCGUAGCCCGUAGCGCUUGUGAGUGCCAAUCUGUUCUUCUUCCCCUGGCCACGACUACGAGGCGUGCUAAUCUGUACGUGCAUGUGCAUGGUGUACGUUCUGUACAUGUGCAUGAUGCGUUGCCAGCAGUGGCCGUAGGCACUAGGAGAAGCCCGGUCGCCAGCGCUCAUCGCCGUCGUCGUUGCCGCAUGCCAUCUUGGCCACAAGCUUGCUGCUGCCUUUGUUUUGCCGAGCUGCGUCAAUGCCGUGGCCAACCUUUCAGAAGGAAACCACCGGCUAUGAAGUCCAAGCAAGAUGACAGCUAUAGCAAAAGACACGUUUGUACAGAAGCGAACAAGUCAUCGUUCAUGCAUCUUGCUCUUGCCAACAGCGACGUCAUGGUGGCAUCAUGCUUAUGUGGUAAUUACCUAGGACUUCCCCUUUAACAAAAUAAUUAGAAUGCUUGUGCUUCAGUCUUUCCCGUAUAGCGGAACUUCAUAAAUCUUUUGGCCUUGCAAAUCUUUGAUCUAUAGAAUAAUCCUUUGUUUAAUUGUAAAAUCCUUGCUCACAACUGAACCAGUUUACCAUUCAUUUAAUUUCUUUCUUGAUUAUUGCUUCGUGGUGACAUCAUCCUUAUGUCAUGUUCAAAUAGCUAUCCUUUUCUUCUUAAAGCCCAGAUCUUAUUCAAUUCAAUUAUGAUUUCAGCAAUUCUUGUCCUCACGUGAUCGUAGCAACGCGUAGAAUAAUUUAAAGUGCUUUACUAUUCUUCUUCGAUGAUUGGUGUACUACUCUUAGUUGUAUUUGUUUGUUUGCUUGUAUGAUUGUGCUGGUGAUUGCUUCGAGUAGAAGGAUCGAUGUUCGAAAGAUUUGAAGAUUAAGAGUUUCAAGAGAGCAAGAGCCGAAGAGCAGUAAGAGUAACUUUUCGUUGGAGAAAGGCAAGUGUCCCUAACCAUCCCUCUACCUAUGCUUUGUUAAUAAUAUUAUGAUAAUAUUUAAUCGGAACAUGGAGCGACCACCCAGGAAAACAGUGCUACCACAAGACUAAAUGGCUCUGGUCUUGGCUGAAUAAUUAGAAACUCUAGUCUGGGGUGAGCUUACCGAAAGGGCAAGAGGGGAGGCGUUGAUAGGGUAUAGCACUCGCUCUCUUGGGAAGUGGGCUUUGCUAAGACACUGUACCCACUAGGGGACUGUUAUGCUCUGCUUCGACCUGAAACCUUAGCGGGUUACCACUUACUAGCGAAUCUUUGUAAAGGCCUCGUAGCGUCCCUAUGCAAUCACACCUCGGAAGUGUGGUAUGGUGCCUAGCUAGCACCGCAUGGUUGGGUCCAAAGUUCUUUGAACCUUUACGCGACUUGUGGGUAAAGAUGUGCCACCUCUGCAGAGUGUAAAACUGAUCGAUCAGCCGUGCUCACGGUCAAGAGCGGCCUGAACCCUCACAUGAUUAUAAACUUGAAGAUGGACUCAAAUCGUUAUUCUGGUUAUUUCUUGUGGCCUUGCUGAGUACCAACCAUAAGUGUACUCACCCUUGCUUACUGUUGCUCAGAAGAAGAAGGUGUGUGAAGUGUUCCGAAGAUGAUGCUGAGUUCUAGGCGUACGCAACCCCCAGUCGAUUGCCUGUGAAGUUUGGAGCCUCCGUUUCCAGUAUUUAAGUUGUGUAUCUCUGAUGGUUUCGUAAGUCUUUAUUUGUAUCUUUUUACGUGAUACUGUUGUUGUUAUUCACUUAUGAUGUCACUAUAUGUAUGAAACUUGAUCCUGGCAUACAUAUAGGUAGCACUUGGUUUUGUCCUUAAAACUGGGUGUGACAACAGGCUAGUCCGGGUCAAGGUCGAGUCCACACCGUAGUCGAACUCGAUGUUGUUGACGUUGAAAUUUUGGAUUUUCUUGGUCGGAUUAUCUGUUUCUUGAACAAAGUUCUCGUGAAGACGCUUCUUUUCCUGGUUGUCGAUGAUGCGGCGCUGAAAAGAUCCAGCUCCGUCAGCAAUGCAAAGCCAGGAGCCGAAGACGAAAGUUGUGCCCGCCUCAAAGGAGGACAAAACGGGCUUGAUGAUGACUGGUGCCAUCAAUCUCGAGUGGAAAAACUCGGUGACUUCCCCUACCUGGCACGCCAGCUGUCGGUGUUUUAGACCGGCAACCCGCCUAGAGGGUACCCUAGGUGGUCUUUUAUACGGUGGGUGUCGUCGAGAAUCAAGGAGUCGAUGGUGACGCAAGGAACACGAUUUAGACAGGUUCGGACCGCUAGAUCUUGUAAUACCCUACGUUCUGUGUGUUGUUUUGUAUUGAACUUGGAACGAAUUGUCUAGAGGGGGUCCCUACCCGCCUUUAUAUAGUUGGUAGAGCAGGGUUACAGGACAGAUUGUGUACAAGUCCUAAUCGAGUACGUUACAGAGUCCUACUCUAACUCGGUAGAGUAGUUUCCUUCUGGCCCGACUAGUCUUCGGGGAAUCCAUGAAGCCUACGCGCCCUGCAAAGUAGUCUUCAUGCCCGAGUUAGUUUUGUGUAUGUCC